rnacentral:rRNA from 1 species
CCUGGCUCAGAUUGAACGCUGGCGGAAUGCUUUACACAUGCAAGUCGAGCGGCAGCGCGGGGGCAACCCUGGCGGCGAGCGGCGAACGGGUGAGUAAUGCAUCGGAACGUACCCAGUCGUGGGGGAUAACGUGGCGAAAGUCACGCUAAUACCGCAUACGUCCUGAGGGAGAAAGCAGGGGAUCGCAAGACCUUGCGCGAUUGGAGCGGCCGAUGUCUGAUUAGCUAGUUGGUGGGGUAAAGGCCUACCAAGGCGACGAUCAGUAGCUGGUCUGAGAGGACGAUCAGCCACACUGGGACUGAGACACGGCCCAGACUCCUACGGGAGGCAGCAGUGGGGAAUUUUGGACAAUGGGCGAAAGCCUGAUCCAGCCAUUCCGCGUGAGUGAAGAAGGCCUCGGUGU